rnacentral:rRNA from 1 species
GACGUAGGGCGCGAGCGUUGUCCGGAUUUAUUGGGCGUAAAGAGCUCGUAGGCGGCUUGUCGCGUCGAAUGUGAAAUCUCGGGGCUCAACUCCGAGCUUGCAUUCGAUACGGGCAGGCUAGAGUUCGGUAGGGGAGACUGGAAUUCCUGGUGUAGCGGUGAAAUGCGCAGAUAUCAGGAGGAACACCGAUGGCGAAGGCAGGUCUCUGGGCCGAUACUGACGCUGAGGAGCGAAAGCGUGGGGAGCGAACAGG